AGUUCUACAUCUUGAUCUGAAGGAACAGAAAGAGACUGAGAGUCACACUAGGUGUAACUUGAGCAUCAGAAACUCAAAGCCACACCGCCCAGUAGUGCCACUCCUUAAGGCCAAGCAAUCAAACACAUGAGUCUGUGGGAGCCAUGGCUAUUCAAACCACCGCGCUAGGGGAAUGUGAAGAGUGAAUGGGACUUGGUACUCUUUGUACUAGUCUUGUUAUUUGUCUGUAGGUCUGAGCUUCUUUCAAAAUUAAAAUUACUAGCAGGGGCUGGGGAUAUGACUGCAUUCAAACUCCAGCGUCACAAAACAAAAGCAAAAAGAAAUGGAACAAAGCCCAAACAUCAACUUACACAACUGUUAUUCAAAUCUCUUUGUACUCCCAGUGUGAAACUUAAUAUAAGCAAUUCCUGUGGUGAGAAAUGCUUUAAGAGCUUCCACUCCCCCACCCUCAAAAUAUGUAGUUUCUCCUUUUGCUCAUUAAAGACAUGCCACUCACUCCCCAAUUCUUUGGCUUGCAGAAAGUUCAAAGCCAAUUUGCUGGCUAACUAUUGUAAGUCACAAUGCUCCCAAGAAACUUCCUUGUGUUCUCAGUACCCGCUAAUAUUUUUUUUGUCCCAGAGUUUCCUCACCAAGUGCUUUUCUGUUUACACAUCAUCUGUCAGGGACUACCCAAUCUCUACACAGGUCUCCAUCAUACCACAGUAACAUCAGAAUACCACAGCUUAUGCCUUCGCAAUUCCACAAGCAAAACCCCAAAGUGAGGCUUGUGAAAGCAUUGUCUGUAAGAAGCCAAGACUCUGGAUCUAGAAUUACUUAUGGUGAAUUUUGCUUGGCCCAAGACUAAAAUUCAAGAGUAAUUGGAGGAACCUACACCCACCCUCCCACGCACCACUCCACAAUAAACAGUGUUUCUUUUUAACAGCUUCUGGUGAGAUGCAGGCCGAGGAACCUGCACCCACGCUCCACCCACCACUCCACGGUAAACAGUGUUUCUUUUUAACAGACUUCUGUUGACAUUCAGACAUCGGCCAAUUCAAAGCUUUGUUUCCUGCCCAAGUUCAGCCUAACUCUCCAACAUAACCUUCGUCUGCCACGGGAGUAUGCUACAGCUGUGUCACCCAAUAAGCUAGCUGCUAGGGGCACGUGACUGUUGGAUAUGGAUAUUUGCAUGCAUGUGGGUAGUGUGACCAAGAAAAUUAACUGCUUAUUUAUAGUCGGUGGUUAUAGGACCUGGAGCAUAGUUCAAGAGUCUGCCUAGCUUCCCCAGAACCCACAGAAAAAUGACAUCUGCUUGGCUGGUUGUCAGCUUGACACAUAGCAGAGUUAUCUGAGAAGGAGGAAUCUCAAUGGGAAAAUACUCCAUCAGAUUGGUCCGAAAGCAAGUCAGCCCACUUGGGGUGUUACCGCACCUGGGUAGGUGCUCCUGGGUUGUAUACACAAGAAGAGCAAGCCUUGAGGAGUGAGCAAAAAAUGAGUGUCCCUCCACUCGGUCUCUGCCAAGGCCCCUGCCUCAGCUCCUGGCUCUGUGUGUAAGAGAAAGAGACCAACACAAUGAUGGUUCUCAUCCCCAAACUACUUAAAUCUACAGUUACUGCAUUACUUACACAGUAGGCACUGACUUCCCUCAGUGAUUGACUGUGACAGUGAUGUAGAAGCCAAAUAAAUGUUUUCCUUCCCAAGCUGUUCUUGGUCCACAUUUUAGCACAGAAGUAGAAAUCAAAGUAGGACACUCGCUAAUUUUAAUGUAGAGUAGCUACACAUGGCUAGUGGCUGAUUACCUUGUUGAAUACUUGGGACAAGAGCUAGGGCUUUAUACGGAAUCGACAGAAGGUGGUUUAAAAGACACUGGGAGUAUUAAAUAAAUAAAUAAAUAAAUAAAUAAAUAAAUAGUAGCCUGAAAGGGUUUUAUGGCUAUCAUGGGUAAUCAUGACUACCAGCUUGAAAAGGUUUGAAAUCACCUGGGAGACACACUCUGGGCGUGACAGUGAAGGCAUCUUCUCUCAGCCAACUGUCAAGAGAGGGAACGCCAGCCCUAAUAUGGCCAGCACCGUAUUCAGUCUGGGACCAGACUGAAUAAAAGGAGAAAGUGAGGGCUCUCCAGACGGCUCAGUGGGGAGAGGCACCAUCCACCAGCCAGGACCUGAGUUACUCCUCAGUCAUCACACACGGAGAAACCAAGCUGAGCACCAGCACUAUGGUCUGCUUCCUGACUGUGGACUCAACGCGCCCAGCUGCCUCGCUUCCAGUCAGCACGCCUUCCUGGCCACGACGGACAGUUCUCCUUAAACCGUGAGACCCUUUAGGUGACUAUUGCCACAGCAACAAAAAAAGAAACUGAGGCAGGGCUGGUCUUGGCCCCAAGCUACUUAAAUCACCUACAGUUAUUGCAUUAUUUAACCAGCAGGCUGCAACGUCACCAUGAGCCACCGGGGCCACCGCCAGCUUGUGGCAGGAUCAUCAAAGCUUCAGCUGGUGGGACAUUUCCUCCUGGGAUCUUGCUUCUGUUUUUUGGUGCUGGGGAUGGGACCUGGAGUCUCAGUCAUGCAUCAGGCCAAUGGCUUGUUUCUGAGGUACAGGACUGUAUAUGCAGACCAUCAAAAGGCUGCUGGAAAUCGGUAACGUGUGAGAGCGAUGACCAGAAUUUUACUCAAGGAAUCACUGGAAGAGGAGAAACUUGACAUAUGCCAACUUAUCAAGUAAUUGUAGUUCAUCUUCUCGGCGAUGCACACAUCAGAGUGUGUGACCCUGCACCUAAUGUAACGAAGGACAGUACACAGACCCACAAAGGUGGCAGCACAGAGCCUGCACCUGCCCUUUGCUUGUUAGAUGGACAUUACAGCAAUGGCAAGUCCUGAGGAUUAGGUGGGGAAAGUUGCUAUUGCUGAAGAUAAUUUCCCCUAGAAAUGUGCUUCAAAGAUCUUGAGGAGGAGACAUUCAACCUGAAUGGGGCUGAUGCUAAGGUCCUUUAGAGACUGCAUGCAAGGGAGCCAUGCUUGAUGCUUCCUUACAAGGAUGCUCGCAGAGUCUAUCCACGCGGGGACCAGAGGGACCUGGAAGAGUGUUAAUGCAUAUGAAUGUGACCAGUGUGUCGAAGUGAACCACCUACCCUGGGAUGGAGAAGACUCAGCAGGCUUGAUGUCAGGUAUCUAGCACAGGAGGCAGUGAAUUAUGGGUAGCCAUGUGGACGGGGCAGGGACAAAUAUGCGGCAUCUCAAAGUCAGAAGAGAAUAUAGGCAAAUGCUGCAGGAAGCAAAGGUCACUAUCCCUUAACAGAUCAGUUAGGGUUCUCCAGAAAGAAGAACUAAUCUGAUGUGUAUAAACAGAUGUUUAAGGAACAAUUUAGAUCGCAGCUCGUCGUGGAUCCUCAGAGAUCGAACCUCUACAGGGAAGACUGGUAGGCUGGGGCCUCAGAAAAGAGGUGAUGUACUUAAGCCCGAAGGCAUCUGCUACCUGAAUUCAUUCUUCCCUAGACCUUGGUCUCUGCUCUCAGCAGGACUUCAAAACAGACUAGAUGACGUAUACACAUUGUGGAAGCUAAUCUGCUUCAUUCAGAAUAUAAUUUGUUUAAAUUUUAUACCAUCUAAGUAAUAACUUCAGUGGGGCUGGUGAGAUCCAUAGAAUAUUUGCCAAGCAAGCAUGAGGAUGGGAAUUCACUCUCUAGAGACCGCAGAAGUAGCCAGGUAUGGUGGGGGUAUUCUUGGAACCAGCAAUGUGAAGGUGGGACAGGAGGAUCCCUGCAUUUGCUGGUGGGUCUGUUUAGCCAAACUGGUAGCUCAAGGAUCAGUGAAACACCCUGUGUCAAAAGAUGAGGUGGAAGACACCUAACACCAGACUCUGGUCUUCACACACUAUAUAUAUAUUUUUUACACACAACAACCAACACCCCCCCCCCCAAUGUUUAUAGAAACAUCCAGAAUGGUGUUGGACCAGGACCUAGCCAAGCUGAUACAUAUAAUAAACCAUAGUGAUCACCUCUCUGCUGGGCCUUUCCUCUGUUCUAGAGGAUAUCUGAGACUUGGAGGCCUCUGUCACCUGAAAUUCGGAGGCCAGCAAAGGAAGGCUACUCUUUUCUGCUGUGACUGCCUGGAAAGCCAUCAAGCUGGGUUAAAAGUCAACACUGCUACCUCAGGCAAUGACAAGGACAGGCCUAGCAAGUUGCCUGGGAAUGAAUUCUACUCCUGUUGCUAAAACCUGUCACUGGACCUUGGUCCUCAAAGUGUCACAAGACAAAGAAGCCAUACUAGUCCUUACAAUAGGUGCGCUUUGAAACCAGGCCUUGAAUGAAGCAUUGGAUGCUUCUGGCACAAAUCCAAGCAGAUCCUUAGAAAGACUCUUGAGUCCUCGUAAUUGCAUUGCAAUAUACACCCAAAAAUAGAUGCAAAAGAAAGACAAGCUGUGUGCUGUGUGGGGUGAGUCAUUUGAGCGUCCUCAUCUUCCUGUAUCAGUUUGGAUUUGGAUUUACUGCUCACCUCUGCGUCAUCAUCACAUCAAUAAAGCAUCUAAAUUUACCCCAGUCCUGAAGAGAACUGUGUAAUAAAUUAAGGUUGGGGGGCAGAGGGAGGACCAGGUCGAAUCACUCUUGAAUUCAUAGACUUUAAUGGAACACCAUGAACUCUGCCUUGUAGCGUCUGGAUUUAAACCAGCAUUUAAUAAUGAGAAAGCUGAGGAACAAAACUCAUUUCAGUCUCAUCAAUCUCUGAUUUAUAGAAACAUUUUCCUUCAUUCCUUUUGAAAACAGUGUUCCGUAAUUUCCCCUUUUUUGAACCUGUACUACAAAGGUCAUGUGUUGUAAACUUAGUCCUUGUAGUAACAAUAUUGGGAAGUAGAGUCUAGUGGGAGGUGCUUACUCCUAAAGACAAGUAGCA
rnacentral:sRNA from 1 species